UACGUAGGGGGCAAGCGUUGUCCGGAAUUAUUGGGCGUAAAGAGCGCGUAGGCGGUCUGAUAAGUCGGUUGUGAAAGUCGGGGGCUCAACCCUCGGAUGCCGAUCGAUACUGUCAGGCUAGAGUCCGGAAGAGGCGAGUGGAAUUCCUGGUGUAGCGGUGAAAUGCGCAGAUAUCAGGAAGAACACCAAUGGCGAAAGCAGCUCUCUGGGAUGGUACUGACGCUGAGACGCGAAAGCGUGGGGAGCGAACAGG
rnacentral:rRNA from 1 species